rnacentral:rRNA from 1 species
UACGAAGGGGGCUAGCGUUGUUCGGAAUUACUGGGCGUAAAGCGCACGUAGGCGGAUUGGCAAGUCAGGGGUGAAAUCCCGGAGCUCAACUCCGGAACUGCCUUUGAUACUGCCUGUCUAGAGUCCGGAAGAGGUGGGUGGAAUUCCUAGUGUAGAGGUGAAAUUCGCAGAUAUUAGGAAGAACACCAGUGGCGAAGGCGGCCCACUGGUCCGGAACUGACGCUGAGGUGCGAAAGCGUGGGGAGCAAACAGG